ACUUGGUCUCUGCUCCUGGUUUGAAUGGCCAUUGUCGUAUUUGGGCGGGGGCUAGAAGCAGCAACAAGUAUGGUGUUGUGUACUACAAGAACAGCUUGAAGACGAUGCACGUACAUAGCAUAGACUCAGUGUCACCCACCUCCCUAUCAUAUCUGUCGCCUGAAGCUACAUAUGGAUAACAACAAUCUUGCAAGAUUACGACUGAAGUUCCACCAUUUGGAAACAAGUUCUCCAUCACAAACAAGUGAAUAUGUUGCACACAUUGAACAGUCUCCACUAUAGCACAGAAUAGUGGCCUCAAGGACUUUAGGGUCAGCUGUGUGCCAAUGCCCUUGUGGGCGCAGAAUACAGGGCGAUCCACUAUCACCAUCACAGUUACGAGUUUGGUAGGACUGGCUGUCCAGACUUGGCUUGGUGACCAGGGCAUGAUAUGUUGAAUUCGGCCUGACAAAUGAUCGUUAACUUGAAUUUCUCUGUACCCCAGUCUUAGUCUUGCGGCCAUGGGAAUUAACUUGAUGAAAUCCGCCUUGCCUUGGGAGCUUCCUCUUGCAGAGUUGCUUCUCUUUGUUCCAAGGAGUCAUGUUUUUCUUAAACAUGUUGGAGAUCUAGCUCAUCACUUCAAAGGGCCAGAACUCUGCUGUUGAGAGUACCAAUCCAAUGAAACUUCAUAGGGAUGUUUAGUAUGACUGCAGGAGUGUCUGUGCCGAGUUUCAUGAAAAUCAAACAAGUGACUAUUGGGAACAACGUAGCAGAGGAAGUCUCAGAGUUUGUUUACCUCGGCAGUACUAUCACAGCCGAUGGGGAUUCAACAUCUGAUGUAGAGAGCACAAUAGCCAAAGCAAGAGCAGACUUCGCAAGCCUGAGGAACAUCUGGAAGUCAGCAGCCAUCAGCAUCAAGACCAAGAUCAGGAUAUUCAAGAGUAACAUCAUUGGAGUCCUCCUAUAUGGUGCCGAGUCGUGGAAGGUGACCAAAGGUGUUGUCCAUAGACUGGAUGUCUUCCAGACCAAAUGCCUACGACGGAUUCUGAAGGUCUUCUGGCCCAACACCAUCAGCAACAAAGAUCUAUAUCAGAGAACGUCAACAUCACCAAUAUCUGAGAUGAUCAAGAUGAGACGAUGGAAAUGGAUCGGACAUGUCCACAGGAUGGGAGCAACAUCAAUCCCAAAGAUCGCCAUGAGAUGGACACCAGCAGGAAAGAGAAAUAGAGGGAGACCAAAGGAAACAUGGCGACGAUCAGUAGAGAAAGAGAUGAAGGAGUGUGGAUGGACUUGGAGCCGGAUUCAGAACAUGGCAGCAGACAGACAGAUGGCGAUCCUCAGUGAAGGCCUUAAGUGUUUUCUAGCAUGAAGAGGAUUAAGUAAGUAAUUAUUAGUAUUGGACAAAGAGUAUCAGUCGAUUGUAUAUUUUGCCAGUAAUUUGCAGUUCAGAGUUAGGUUUCCUGGCUCUAAUCAGCUUAUCAUACCUUUUCCAAUAUGAAAUUAAUGUCCAAUACAAUAUUUUUACAAAUUUAUUUAUAAAUUAGUACUUUUCAUAUCACAUAAUUUUCAAAUAAAGGAGCAAAACUCCUACAAAAGAAGUCAAAAUGGAUCCAAAUUGCAACAUGACCCACAAAGAAGCUACAUAGCAAAGUUAACUUUUAAAGAGAAAUGAAAUUAGAAAAAAAAAAAAAAAAAAAAACUCUGACGGACGGACAACAUUGGUGUACUACAAUACAUCCCCUCUAUAUAAAAAACAAACUCUAUAUGUUACAAUACUUCAACAAGAAAGCAAGAAGACAACAUAGCUUGUUGGGAAGUAGGCCUUUACUUAGCUAUCCCCUUUCCUUGAAAAGGUUAGUAAAGUUAUUUAAAAUUUAGUCAAAGACCAAGGUCAUUAGGUCAAACGUUUUGAGUCAUGAGGCAUCUACAUACAUGCAUGAAAUAUCAAAACCCCAUCCCCUCUUAUUCAAAAGAUAUAGUUCAAAUUUAAGUUUUUGAAAAGUCAGUCAAGUCCAAGGUAUCCUCACAUCUGCUCAGUUUACAAUUUUAAGAAUGUUGAUAGUCAAAUGAGGCAGUCAUUUCAUACAAUAUUCUGUCUUCACUACUGUAGAUACUGAUCAUUUCUGAAUCAUUUGAUAUUACGUGCAAGUACAGUUGUCAGAGAUUGCAAACCCAAACAGUUUUGUUCUUAGUCUCCUCAAGAUCAACAAAUAAUUUUAAUACAAAAACUUUAGAUUAUCCCAUGAAAAAAAUAAACAAGGCAUUGAAGAUGCCUUGACCUUGGACAAACUGACCUCCCAAGCAAUUGAGAUUAUUUUUGCAUGAAUGUAUAUCAGCCUAAUAAAAACAUGUAUGAAAUACGAAAAAUAAACCACUUUUCAAUUAUCCGUUGCACAAGAUCUAUAUUAUACACAUAUCACUUGUCUGGUCUGGUAGUGACCUUGACCUAGGACAUACUGAUCUGUUGAGCAAUGGAGAUCAUAUGCACAUUAAUGUAUAUUGAUCUAAGGAAUCUGAUAUACUCCUUCCAAAAUGUGUGAAGGAAGGGGGAUGGGGGGGGGAGGGGUUAUAAUACCAGAAUUUCUAUUACAAAAUAUUCAGCAUGACAUAAUGUGCCCUUGUUGACAGUUGUUCUUGAGAAUUUUAAAAAUAAUUUUGAACAUAAUCGUGCGUAAAAUUGCAACGGACAAGAAUGUCUUUGGAUACACUCUUAAUGCAAAAAAAAAACCAAUUUAAUUUCAGAUGUAUUCUAGGUCAGGAAAGUUAAGUAUACCAUUCAAAAGUAAUUUUUUUAUAGGGUUUGUUUGAGGCUGUGGCCCCCACUUACAGUGUAAGACAACUUCUUUGGAGAAAAAAGUCAUGUCCACUGUCUGGCUUCUAAGCAACGACGAAUCGUAUCGUGGUGUCACAGAUCGAUUUGACCUUUCCAAAGGAUCCUUGCAUUUCAUUUUUUUGACAGUUUGUAAUGCAGUAAAGGCCUUGGACACAGUCAAGUGGCCAACACUCUCCCAGAUGAGAACAUCUGCAUCUAUUUUUCAGGAUCGAUAUGGUUUUCCAGGGAUAAUAGGAUGUAUUGAUGGAAGCCAUAUUCCCAUUAAAGACAGAGGGCAGGAUCGAUCUAGUUUUAUUAACAGAAAGGGAUUUAGUUCCAUCAUAUUACAAUGCAUAUGCAAUGAAAACAUGAGUUUCAUUGAUGCUUAUGCUGGUUGGCCUGGAUCAGUCCACGACUCUUGCGUUUUCAGAAAUAGUCCGAUCAAUUUGGAGCUGAACAAAUUGUGCCCAUCAUAUCAUGUUCUAGGAGAUUCUGCAUACCCCCUCUCCAUAUCGUUAAUUACACCAUUCAGGGAGACUGGUUGUCUAUCUGAACAAGAAAGGAGGUUUAAUGUCGUACACAGCUCUGCCAGGCCUUUGCUCUUCUGAAAGGCAAAUUUAGGCGUUUGAAGUCGCUGGAUAUGUCUCUUGAACAUCAAAUUCCAGAAGUUAUCAUGGCUUGUGUACAUCUCCACAACACUGUAAUGGAGCAGAGAAGCGCCUGGCUUUAGCAGCUUCUUUGUGACUGCAAAGUGCUGUUGCCCGGAAUCGCUAUGAAGGAUGUUGUCAAUUCCACGUACUUCUUCCAGCUCCGGACUUGUUCAUGGAAUCUUUUAUUGACCUUUUAACACCUAAAAUCCAGGAAAACCUGUUCAGGAGUGAAGAUGUAGGAAACUUCGCAAUAUAAUUUAAUUUUUUUUGUGAAAGCAUCAAUCUCCUUAAUACAAUUUAUAUCAUAAAAUAAAAAUCAA